ensembl:lncRNA
AUGAAUGUAUUUUCAGACGGGGAUUCUGCUAGUGUGGAAAAGAAAGAUUCUGAUGAUGCACCUGAUGAUGCAAAUAAAACCUCUACAGAAGACACAGAUGAUUCAUCUGACAAGGAUUCUUCAGACACAGAUGAGCAGCAGGACUCUGAUGAUUCUGCAGAUUCUGACAAAGACAAAACAGAUGGAAACUUAGAUGAAAAGAGUGGCGAGAAAAAGGAGAAAGACACCAGUAAUGACUCCAGUAAAGACUCAGAAGACGAGGGUCGAGAAAGCUCUGAGACGCCAGACAAAAGCGACACAGACAGCGACUCAGACACUGAUGAGGUGAAAGUUUCAGACGACUCCAAAAACCAGGAUUCAGAAUCGAAAGACACUGACAGCACAGAGAAGAAAGAGAAAGACCAGGACUCUGACAGCGACGCAGACACCAGCAGCGUUCAAGACACGACAGAUUUCCCUGAGGACAGCGCCGAGGAUAAAGACAAGGACAGCAGGGACCCGAAAGACAAUGAAGAUGAUGGAGACAGGGAGAAGGAUGCCAAUGAGAAGGAGGAGACCAAUGAGACUGGCAGCGACAGCAUUGAGGAAAAAGAUAAAGAGGACGAAUCCAAACCAGACGAACAGGACAAGGAAGACACCACCUCAAAAGAAGACGCCGCAACCAGUCAGUCUGAUGAAAGUCCACUGGAGGAAAUGACAGAAGACAAGCAGGAAGACAAACCUGAUUCUGACAGCUCCAGUCUGGACUCAAAUUCAGACACGGACUCUGACAGCAAAGAAAAAGAGCAGGACAAAGACAAAGACAAGAACAGCACAGAGUCCACAGACACAGAUAGCUCUGACAGCAGCAGCAAGAGCGACACAGACAGCUUAGAAACAGGAGGGGAAGAUACUGAUGAAGACAAUGACUCCAGCGUGGAAAAGGAGAAACAGGAGACUCCUGAUGGCGCAUCAUUAGAGACAAAUGACUCUGAUUCUGACUCCAGCGAUGACCAUGACAACGACUCAACAGAUGCUACGACAUCAAAUGAACACACUGAUGAAAACACUGAUGCAGACAGCCAUGAUGUUGCAGACGAUGAUGAUGACACUGAUGUCCAUGAUGAUGCAGUUGGGGUUGAAGACGGCACAGACGUCGCUUCUAAAACACACGAUGAACCAGAUCAUCUUGAUGACACAACUCAAGGAUCAGAUGAUGCCAGCAAAACCCCUAUGCCAAGCUCCUAGCGACCAGGACUCUACCAAAACACUGUAACAGAUUUUUCCUGGAGAGACGUAAAAAGAAUCACCUGAGACAGUCAAGAUAACCAGAGUUUCACAUCCCAUUAAAACACAUUGACACGUCCCUCUCGUCCUUUCUUUCUCUCUCUCUCGUAUGGUGAAGGUUCCUUUCUAAGGGUUCUGGGAUGCAGAUUAAAUUAUUCGGCUGUUUGCUGUACAUUCCUUUUUUUUUUUUUUUACUUUGUCCUAACUCUAAAACUUUUGUAUCUUUUGAUAUAUUAAUUUUACCAAUUUUAGAUGGAAAUGCAUGAUGAACAGAGAGGGUCUGGAAUUGCAUACCUCAUGCAUUUGUCUCAUUGCGUAGGGUCUAAAUAUAUUUCAUUUCAUUAAACCUAGAGAGUAGAACUAACAGAAGGAAUUUUGAGAAAGCGAAACGAUUCGGGUCUGGUGAAAAUGUUGUUCUGUCAAACCUGGGAUGGUUCCAUUGCUUUGUCCACAUGGUGUCCCCAUCCUUGACACUGACUGAAAGACUGCAGCUGCUGCAACGAGAACCUUCCCUCCUGCUCUCAGAUAAAAGCUGGCCUGAAAUGUCACAGAAUGAGAUGUUUUGUACAGACACUUUCUGAUUUCUGAUCUCUAUGUCUCUGCGGAGGAAUACUAAUAAACUAGCAAUGUAAGAGCA